UCAAGCUGCUAAGAGCUGUUGGUGGAUGCCUUGGCAUCGAAAGGCGAAGAAGGACGUGUAACCUGCGAAAAGCUUCGGGGAGUCGGAAAAGGCGUAGAACCGAAGGUAUCCGAAUGGGGGAACCCGAUAGAGAAGCCCUCUAUCAUCUUUAAAUGAAUACAUAGUUUAAAGAAGCAAGACCUGCUGAAGUGACACAUCUCAGUAAGCAGAGGAAAAGAAAUCUAGAAGAGAUUCCCAUAGUAGCGGCGAGCGAAGUGGGAAGAGCCCAAACCAGGGAUUAAUUCCUGGGGUUGUAGGGCCUAUUAUAAAGCGAAGUUUAAUCUAGCAAAAUGGCAUGGAAAGGCCAAUGAAACAGGGUGAGAGUCCCGUAUGCGAAAGAUAAGAUAAGCGAAAUAGGAACCUGAGUAGGACCGGGCACGGGAAAUCCGGUCUGAAACUGGGGGGACCACCCUCCAAGGCUAAAUACUAAAACGAUGACCGAUAGUGAACAAGUACCGCGAGGGAAAGGUGAAAAGAACCCCUGUUAGGGGAGUGAAAUAGAAACUGAAACCAGCAGCUUACAAACGGUCGAAGGCCUAUGCACCGUAAGGUGAAUGGCUGACGGCGUGCCUUUUGCAUGAUGAGCCAGCGAGUUAAGCUACAUGGCGAGGUUAAAGAACAAACGUUCUGGAGCCGAAGCGAAAGCGAGUGUGAAUAGCGCGUAUAGUCGUGUGGCUUAGACACGAAACCAAGUGAUCUAUCCAUGACCAGGAUGAAGUUCGGGUAAAACCGAUUGGAGGUCCGAACCAGUGUCUGUUGAAAAAGACUUGGAUGAGUUGUGGAUAGGGGUGAAAGGCCAAUCAAACUUGGAGAUAUCUUGUUCUCUUCGAAAUAACUUUAGGGUUAACCUCGGAAAAGCCGACUCGGGGGUAGAGCACUGAAUCCACAAGGGAGGCUACCGCCUUACCGAAGGGAAUCAAACUCCGAAUACCGAGAAGGAAGCCGGGAGAUAGACUAUGUGGGAUAAGCUACAUAGUCAAAAGGGGAACAGCCCAGAUCGCCGAUUAAGGCCCCAAAUUCUAUGCUAAGUGAGUAAGGAAGUGAAGUUUCAAAGACAGUUGGGAUGUUGGCUUAGAGGCAGCCAUCAUUUAAAGAGUGCGUAACAGCUCACCAAUCGAGAAACUUUGCGCCGAUAAUAGACGGGACUAAAGCAUAGAGCCGAAAUCGCGGGUGUAUCGAUAAGAUACGCGGUAGGAGAGCGUAGUAUGUGCAGAGAAGAUAUACCGUGAGGAGUGUUGGAGCGCAUACUAGUGAAGAUGCAUGGCAUGAGUAAACGAUAAAAGAGGUGAAAAUCCUCUUCGCCGAAAACCUAAGGUUUCCAGGGUAAAGUUCGUCUUCCCUGGGUUAGCCGGUCCCUAAGCUAAGGCUGAAAAGCGUAGGCGAUGGGAAGCAGGUUAAAUAUUCCUGCGCCGCUAAAGAGCAAUGGUGAUGAGAUGACGGAGUAAGUUAAGCGUGCGGACGAUUGGAUGUCCGUGGAGCUGUGAAGAGGGUCUGAAGGAAAGCCCGCAGACAAAAAUCUAGGCAGAGACUAAGGGGAACUGAAAAGGGAACCGAUAACGUAGCGCGAUGCUUCCAAGAAAUAGUUUCUAACCGUAAUUUAGCGACCGUACCAAAACCGACACAGGUGGGUGGGAUGAAUAUUCUCAGGCGCGCGAGAGAACUCUCGUUAAGGAACUCUGCAAAUUACCCUCGUAACUUCGGGAGAAGAGGGGCCAGGGUUCGUAAUAUUCUUCGCGAAUAGAAGCGAAAACUGGUCGAAGAGAAAUGGCCCAGGCGACUGUUUAACAAAAACACAGCACUAUGCAAAGUCGUCUAAGACGACGUAUAUGGUGUGAAGCCUGCCCAAUGCCAAAAGGUCAAAAGGAGAUGUCAGUUGAGCAAUCGACAAAGCAUUGAAUUAAAGCCCUGGUGAAUGGCGGCCGUAACUAUAACGGUCCUAAGGUAGCGAAAUUCCUUGUCGGGUAAGUUCCGACCUGCACGAAUGGCCUAACGAUCUGGGCACUGUCUCAACGAGAGACUCGGUGAAAUUGUAGUAGCGGUGAAGAUGCCGUUUACCCGCAACAAGACGGAAAGACCCCGUGAACCUUUACUAUACUCUGAUAUUGGCUUUUGACUUUUCAUGUGUAGGAUAACCGGAAGACAUUGAAGUUUGCUCGUUAGGGCAAAUGGAGUCGACCUUGAAAUACCGGUCUUGAAAGGUUGAAAAUCUAACAAUAUUCCGUGAAACCGGGAGUUGGACAUUGUCAGACGGGUAGUUUGACUGGGGCGGUAUCCUCCUAAAGAGUAACGGAGGAGUUCAAAGCUUCCCUCAUCGUGGUUGGCAAUCACGAAUAGAGCGUAAAGGUAUAAGGGAGGUUAACUGCGAGACCAACAAGUCGAGCAGAUACGAAAGUAGGACUUAGUGAUCCGGCGGUAGAAAGUGGAAUCGCCGUCGCUUAACGGAUAAAAGGUACUCCGGGGAUAACAGGCUUAUCGCCACCAAGAGUUCAUAUCGACGUGGCGGUUUGGCACCUCGAUGUCGACUCAUCGCAUCCUGGGGCUGGAGAAGGUCCCAAGGGUUUGGCUGUUCGCCAAUUAAAGCGGUACGCGAGUUGGGUUCAAAACGUCGUGAGACAGUUUGGUCCCUAUCUGUUGUGGGCGUAGGAUAUUUGAGAAGAGCUGCUUCUAGUACGAGAGGACCGAAGUGGACGAACCAAUGGUGUGCCGGUUGUACUGCCAAGUGCAUAGCCGGGUAGCUAUGUUCGGAAAGGAUAAGCGUUGAAAGCAUCUAAACGCCAAGCCUCCUUCAAGAUAAGAUAUCCCAACGAGACCCCCUGAAGAUGACAGGGUUGAUAGGUUGGAUGUGUAAGCAUAGUAAUGUGUUGAGCUAACCAAUACUAAUAGGUCCAUUGGCUUGAUU
rnacentral:rRNA from 1 species